rnacentral:misc_RNA from 1 species
UCUCCGUUGGUGAACCAGCGGAGGGAUCAUUACCGAGUUUACAACUCCCAAACCCCAUGUGAACCUCAUACCAGUCGUUGCUUCGGCGGUACCGCCCCGGCGCCCUCGGGCCCGGAACCAGGCGCCCGCCGGAGGCCCGCAAACUCUCCGUGUAUACCGCCCCCCGGCGGUGGCAUUAUCUGAGUAAAAAAGAAAAAACGCAUCAAAACUUUCAACAACGGAUCUCUUGGUUCUG